GACGAACGCUGGCGGCGUGCUUAACACAUGCAAGUCGAACGGAAAGGCCCUGCUUUUGUGGGGUGCUCGAGUGGCGAACGGGUGAGUAACACGUGAGUAACCUGCCCUUGACUUUGGGAUAACUUCAGGAAACUGGGGCUAAUACCGGAUAGGAGCUCCUGCUGCAUGGUGGGGGUUGGAAAGUUUCGGCGGUUGGGGAUGGACUCGCGGCUUAUCAGCUUGUUGGUGGGGUAGUGGCUUACCAAGGCUUUGACGGGUAGCCGGCCUGAGAGGGUGACCGGCCACAUUGGGACUGAGAUACGGCCCAGACUCCUACGAGAGGCAGCAGUGGGGAGUAUUGCACAAUGGGCGGAAGCCUGAUGCGGCAACGCCGCGUGCGGGAUGACGGCCUUCGGGUUGUAAACCGCUUUCGCCUGUGACGAAGCGUGGGUGACGGUAAUGGGUAAAGAAGCACCGGCUAACUACGUG
rnacentral:rRNA from 1 species